rnacentral:lncRNA from 1 species
CUUGUUUCCAUUUGGAGAACCUAAAUUUCAAUCCUUUUUCUCUUCCCCGUAAGAAAAUUCAAAAUUUCAAUUCCGCAAAUCGAAAAUUCCCUCCUUGCUUUGCCCUUUGUCUCUCUUUUUGUGUAGCGUCAUAAUCGAUCAGUUGAAAGCUAAGAAGAGAGUGAGUUGGAGAAGGUUUGGUUAGGAUCCAUCGAUGGCGGGGUACAAGGCCGAUGACGAGUACGAUUACCUUUUCAAGCUGGUUCUGAUCGGCGAUUCCGGCGUGGGGAAGUCCAACCUCCUCUCGCGCUUCACGCGGAACGAGUUCAAUUUGGAGUCCA